GAAAGCAGGCGAGGUGAUCGCGAUCAGGGCAUCGGUGGCUUCGGCCCCGAGGCGCUUGGUUGAGGAAAGUCCGGGCUCCCCGAUGGCCAGGCUUGCUGGGUAACGCCCAGUGCGGGUGACCGUGAGGAGAGUGCCACAGAAACACACCGCCGAUGGCCGGCUUGCCGGCACAGGCAAGGGUGCAAAGGUGCGGUAAGAGCGCACCAGCAGCAUCGAGAGGUGCUGGCUCGGUAAACCCCGGCUGGGAGCAAGGCCGAGGAACGACGGUUGGCCAUCAACCCCGUUCCGCUGAUGUGCGCCGCUCGAGGUCGCCGGUAACGGCGAUCCCAGAUAGAUGAUCACCCCCCUUCUUUGGAAGGGAGAACAGAACCCGGCUUAUGUCCUGCUUUCACCC
rnacentral:RNase_P_RNA from 16 species